GGGUCAAUUGUUUAAUUUUUAUGUUGUAAGUGAUAUAUCAACAACUGAUAGUCAAUCUUCCAAAAAUGUCAAAGAAACCAAUUUUGAGGCUUAUGAGAGAGACAAUGAUGAUGAAGAUGAUUUAUUAUGGGAGUACAAGAAAAGGAGAGUGGACAACUUCAAAAAUAAAAAAUGAAGUUGAUAGAUAUUUAAUGAAACCUACAGAGGAUUGCAACAACCAGCUAUUUGACUUGUUGAAUUGGUGGAAAUUGAAUUCCACAAAAUUUAAGGUUCUGUCAUCUAUGGCUUGAGAUAUAUUUGCUGUCCCAUUGUCUACAGUAGCUUUCAAAUAAGCUUUUAGCACUGGAGAAUGCAUUUUAGAUCAAUAUCAAAGCUCACUUACUCCAAAAAUAGUGGAAGCUUUGAUUUGCUCUCAAAAUUGGCUUAAUGCAAUCCCACUCCCAUUAGAUAUCCAUGACCAUGCUUAUGAUGAAUGUUUUGCUAUUUGUCAACAUCUUGAGUUAGAUACAUUAUCUGCUGAAACUUCUGAUUAUGAUGCAUGAAAAAAUAAUUUUUUAAUUGAGUUUGGUGGGUAAGCAAACUAUGUUUUAAUCAUAUGUAUAUAGUUUUUGAUAUAUUAAUGGUGUUGUAAACUAUGGGAGUAGGAUAUGUGUGUUGUAGAUUGAAGCUUUGGAAUGAUGGAGACUUUAAGCUAGCUUUGGAAUUACAAUGGCUUGGGGAUUGAAGCUUUGAUUGGAUAAUAUAUAUAUAUAUAUUUAUUUAUUUUAUGUGUGUGUUGUAUUAAUUUGCUACAUGUUAUUCAAUAUCUUGAGUUGUAAAGAGUUUGUAAUUUGAUUGAAUAAGUUUGGAUUUAAUUUGUAUUAUUUUGGAUUUAA